ACAAGUAGCAGCAGCGCCCCAAAUCGAGGGAGGGAGGAUCCUCUCAGGUGAUAUUUUAUCUCUCAAAUGUGAUGUCCCAUCUCUUGGUUAGUUGCUUUGUUUGGAUGAUUUCUGGCCUUGAUGUGUGCUGCGAUUUACGAGUAUUUGGUAGUAUGAACUGUAGAAUAGGGAAUAGAUCUGGGGUGAUGGGUUUAACAACCACAGGAGAUAGAUGAUGCCUUUGUGCAGUACUAGGAAUCAAAAGGAUCUGGGUGGGAAUGGUGACGAGGCAACACAACAAUUUCAUGUGUUCGUUAUAACUUUAAAUAGUCUAAACACCAUUUUUUAUGAACUACGAUGGAUCAUAAAGCUACUAACAUUAUAACAAUUGGCUUUAUCUCAUAAAAAAAUUGCAGUCAACUAACAAAUGGAUGGUAAGACCAGGAGAAUAUAACUGAAGAAAUCUAUAGCAUUUUAACUGAAGGACAAACUGACUUAUCUUCAGUUAAGUGGCAUAUUAACUUUUCAUCAGUGAGGUACAACAUUCUCUACAUACGGUGCUUUUUUCUUGAGUAUACCAGUUCAAUAAUGAACAAUUAAUUCACUAUAUGAAUUGAUUUCAGUUUUGUACAUGUCUGCAUCAUACUUAAUGUUAAUUCCCUAUUAAAUUAGCAAGAUUUAGGAAGUCAUUUUUUUGCAGGUCAAAAAAGCAAGAUUUAGAUGAUAUUUCGCAACAAUGUCAAUGUUAGAUUCUGAUUCACCAACAGUGCUCUUUAGGUUACAAAGGAUUUGAAUUGAGCGAUUCAACUCUGCCUUCAUCAGUACAAACAAUUCAUAAAAGAGGUUCAGUCUCUUCUUUAUUAUCUAUGUGCAUUAAUACUAUGUAUGAUACUAACUGAGUACAGUUGCCUGCAGUAUGCAUUGCUCUACUUUGGAUCCUUUUUCUUACUUUAUACUUCCUUUGCUCUCUGUUGUGUUUGCAGAUGAAUUGGACUAAUCUACUCAGCAUCUCAUGACUUUAGAAGCACGAGUUCAUGAAAACUGAUAUCCACUAGGAUUGCUCUGCUCCUGUUGACAUGCGAGAGCUGUUUGAAGCGAACUGGAUGGUUGUCACCACUGAUUAAGCUGCCGAGCCCAAGAAUUGUGUCAGACUAUUGGCCAAGCUGUUCAAUUUCUCAACACCGUUCAGUUUUGUCAUUGGCCGCCCUUGCGUACACUCAACAGAGAAGGGUAUCUAUGCUCAAUUUCCUACUCUAGAUAACAUCUACUCAUAUAAUUGAUCUCUAAUAUCCUGUACAAAACGUUAGUGGUGGCUCGACAAUUUAAUAAGCCAGAUUUGUGGGAAGUGGAAUGCAUGUGUAACCAAACUGGGCUGGACCAAUCUUGAGGUUUUCCACGAAUUCUUUUAAAAAUGGUUCUUAAGCAAGGCACUGGGAAAUCGUGGAUAGCUGAUAUAUCCAGCAGGUAUGUGCACAUUCUGCUAUAAUCUAGAGUAGGGAGUGCUCAGCAUAAAUUGUGAGAUCUGAGCUGGUACAUAAAAUAAACCAAGAUAGUCUUGUCUUACGUGCGGAUGAUUUUAU
rnacentral:lncRNA from 1 species